rnacentral:lncRNA from 1 species
CAGGUACUCUCAACCUUAAGUGGAUGCUGGUUUUAACGCACAUCUAUCAAAUACCAAAUAUAGCAUCAAUUGAAGGGAGGGGACAUGUGCCCUCCUUAAUCUGGACUAACCCUAAAGAUAAACUGGUAAUCAACACAACGCAACAGAAGACAUACUGAGUGUCUUCUGAGGCUGAUUCAGAAAUGGUCAAGUAGCUUCUGCCUAAUGCUCUUAAAAUGCUUAUUCUGGGGUAAUCCAACCAGAUGCCAUGUAAACAUUUUGAAACUGUCCUACUGAAAGCCCAUGUAUGAACAUUCUGAUUGACAGCCCAGCUGAGUUUCAGCUGACAACCAACAUCAAGUGCCAGCCAGGUGAGUGAGCCAAAUUGGAAAUACACCCCAUAGAGCCUUCAGAUCAUUGCAGCACAGCCAACAUCUGACUGCAGCUGCAUGAGAGACCCUAAGUGACAGCUGCAUAGCAAGUCCUUCUUGAAUUCCUGACCUAUAAAACUGUGAGCAAAAUUAAAGGGGUGUUUUAAGCAGCUAGGCUCAGUGAGAAUAUGCUACACAGCUAGUAACCAGAACACAGGAGCUCUGGAGCCUUUACAUACUUUAAUGUCCUCUAUGCAUUGCCAUCUAGUCUAAUUUACAGUUUUGCAAAUGACAUAUUUUAAUAUUUCCAAAGAAGUAUACUUUCACUGAUAGCAGUCAUGUGUUAAUACAAAGAGCUAGCUUCAUUUGCAUUUAAAUGCCCCCAAGAACUUGUCUCUAAGUAUUUGGAGAGCCAGACACAAUUGGAAUAAAAAAAAAAAAAGACAAUAGGUUGACUCUGCUAAUUUUCUUUAUCAUACUAUUGUUUUAAAAAGAUUAUUCCUAGUUAUAUAAUGGUUAGCCAGUCAAGGACCUUUGUCCAACUUUGAACAUAUUAAUUAUCUUCCAUCUUAGUUCCACAAAUUCAAGGAUGUGAGUAAUUUAUAUCUGCCUUGAUACUGUCUUCUAGGAGAAUGAGAAUUUUAAAGAGAUGAACUUUGAACACUUUUACUUUAAAAGAAAACUUUUUUAUGAUUUUUUAAAAUAGGAAAAUUUUAUUCUUGCAAGAUAUUAAGACUCUAUAUUGGGGAGGAGUGUUGCACAGGCAUAGACUUGAUCAGUGGUAGGUAUAAAAUUUAUGUAUCUCUCUAAUACUUUCGAUAACUCUUCAUUCCUUUUUGAUACGUCAUGGAAUUUGUU